GGGGAAUAUUGCACAAUGGGCGCAAGCCUGAUGCAGCCAUGCCGCGUGUGUGAAGAAGGCCUUCGGGUUGUAAAGCACUUUCAGUCGUGAGGAAGGUAGUGUAGUUAAUAGCUGCAUUAUUUGACGUUAGCGACAGAAGAAGCACCGGCUAACUCCGUGCCAGCAGCCGCGGUAAUACGGAGGGUGCGAGCGUUAAUCGGAAUUACUGGGCGUAAAGCGCAUGCAGGUGGUUUGUUAAGUCAGAUGUGAAAGCCCGGGGCUCAACCUCGGAAUUGCAUUUGAAACUGGCAGACUAGAGUACUGUAGAGGGGGGUAGAAUUUCAGGUGUAGCGGUGAAAUGCGUAGAGAUCUGAAGGAAUACCGGUGGCGAAGGCGGCCCCCUGGACAGAUACUGACACUCAGAUGCGAAAGCGUGGGGAGCAAACAGGAUUAGAUACCCUGGUAGUCCACGCCGUAAACGAUGUCUACUUGGAGGUUGUGGCCUUGAGCCGUGGCUUUCGGAGCUAACGCGUUAAGUAGACCGCCUGGGGAGUACGGUCGCAAGAUUAAAACUCAAAUGAAUUGACGGGGGCCCGCACAAGCGGUGGAGCAUGUGGUUUAAUUCGAUGCAACGCGAAGAACCUUACCUACUCUUGACAUCCAGAGAACUUUCCAGAGAUGGAUUGGUGCCUUCGGGAACUCUGAGACAGGUGCUGCAUGGCUGUCGUCAGCUCGUGUUGUGAAAUGUUGGGUUAAGUCCCGCAACGAGCGCAACCCUUAUCCUUGUUUGCCAGCGAGUAAUGUCGGGAACUCCAGGGAGACUGCCGGUGAUAAACCGGAGGAAGGUGGGGACGACGUCAAGUCAUCAUGGCCCUUACGAGUAGGGCUACACACGUGCUACAAUGGCGCAUACAGAGGGCAGCCAACUUGCGAAAGUGAGCGAAUCCCAAAAAGUGCGUCGUAGUCCGGAUUGGAGUCUGCAACUCGACUCCAUGAAGUCGGAAUCGCUAGUAAUCGUGGAUCAGAAUGCCACGGUGAAUACGUUCCCGGGCCUUGUACACACCGCCCGUCACACCAUGGGAGUGGGCUGCAAAAGAAGUAGGUAGUUUAACCUUCGGGGGG
rnacentral:rRNA from 1 species